rnacentral:lncRNA from 1 species
UUGCUGUCUGUAUUUCAUCUUUCUUCUCUUUCUCUAAGAACAGUGAGACCAUCUGAAGUACUGUUGAUUUCUCUUGGUGGCUAUUUCUGUUUCUACCAAUGGCUGUGAACAGGCACUUGAGACCUUUGACCAAACAUAGCACAACAAGGAGACUGCAAUGAUGACCAUUAGGAGGAUAUCACCAGGAGACUGAAAAAAAAUGAAAGAUGAAGAAUCAUUUCCUUGGAAAGGCCAAUCCAAAAAAGAAGAACUCAAUCUGUUGGUAAUCAUCUUUACAUUCCUAUUAUGCAUCUAGAGGCCUAUUCAGAUAUUCAUACCAUGUGCUUCAGAGGAAGGAUUUCACAGAAUGUUUUGAUUUGGAUGACUGGUAGGAGAAAUGGGAGAAGACUGUUUAUAGACCUGAAAUGAGACCUAGAAGAGGAAGUCCCCACAGGAGACAGAGCAAGACAAGGAAGAAAUGCCUCAAAAAGAGAUGGGGAAUUAAAGAGGAAAAUCUUGUGAAUGUUUUUAUGCUAUAAUAAGGAAUUUGAUUCAAGGUCACUGAUAGUGACGCAUCAAGACUAACUGUCACUAUGACUUGAUGAAUAAUCAAGCUAGUAUGUUACAAUUUUUUUUAAAAUAAAUGGAGUUCUAUAACUUUGGUUAAUAAAAGUCUACAACUAGUAGCCCUUUGAAACUAACCCUUUUAACUUUUAAAGAUUCUACUUGGAAAGUAGACACAAUGAUCAUGGCUUAGUAAAGACACACCAGAAUCCUAGCCUUUCUAAAACACAAGAAUAAAAGUG